UGCUCGGUGACAGUGCAAUCUACACCUGAAGGCAAGUAACUAUUUUUAGUAUCCAUUUUCGAUUCAUUUCACUUUUGAAAUUCAACAUGCACUAAUCUGUGUUGUUUUAGAACAGGUUGCUCGAGAAUUGGAUCUGAGGUGGAAGAGAAAAAUGACAUAAUUAACAAAAUUUUGCUUGAAAAAAGGUAUCCAUUUUUUCUCGAUUAUUUAGAAAGUUUCAAUCUUCUGCCGAAAGACCCUGUUUGACAUCAAUAUUUUGAAUUAGACCCAUACUUUGUAAAGUGCAAUAGCUUUCUCAAAAGUUUUUCUAUCGGUUGAAUUAUGAGCAACGUGGUUAAAUGUUGGCUCGAUGACUUGAUACCCUAUAUUUGAUAUGCCGGAGUGAUAUAUUGACCCAAAAUAUAUUCAUUGUUAUUGACUCUAUAAAUUAUUUUAAGAUGGUAAUAUGCUGCCUUGAUAAUGCUUAAAUUCAAAUUUUAUAUUGGCUCUGCCUCUCAUAUGGUUAAAUGUUCCAUUGAAGACCCUUAAGUCUAAAUCCUAUAGGCUACAUAGUUUCAAUUAUAUGUUGCCUCGAUAGGGUUUAAUUAAAUGUUUCUUUAAUGACCCUUAAGUCUAAUUCUGAUUUUUUUUUUUUUAAAUUGCCCCUAAAAAAAUCAUUUUUUACAGCAAUACCCCUGUUUUAAAAAAUAUUGCCGUAAUACCCCUCUUUUGAGGCAAAAACUGGUGUGUAGCAAGUUUCCACUGAUGGCGGAACCGACAGAAUCGCCAUUUGCAUGGUGAUGGUGGAAAUGGCAGUUCCGCCAUUGACCAAAGAAUUUGUUUUUUGUUUUUUUCCUUUAUAUCCAAAAAGGAAGAAGACAUAUUUAAGCCGUCUGAUGAAGAUCAGCGGCUGUGAUGAAAGGCUUAUGGUGCAGCUGCAGUGGACCUACGCGCGUAGGAUCAGCAGGUAUAAAUUCUCCUAAUCCUCAAAAAAUUUCAUUUUUCUUCUCACUUUCUCUCUCUUCUUCUCUCGGCUCUCUCUCUUCUCUCAUCUCACUCAAGAACAUUCAUGUUGUUCUUCAUGAACACAUGAAUGCCGGCGGCGGACCACCGCCUGGGCCAGAUUCCGGCGUCCUUAGCCACCGCGACGUCCGGUUUCCGGCGGUUUCGCCACCGUGCCGGAUACCUAAAAUCACCCAAAAAAUCCCAAAUUAAACCCAAAAAAUCCAAAAUCCUUUUUUAAACACUUUUAACCAGUUUUAAACACAAAUCAAACCCCAAAACAAAUAAAUCAAAGUAAACAUAUUAAAAUCCCAAAAAUUAAAUGUUGUUGUUCUAUUACCUCUUUUGUGUUUCUAAUUCUUAUUUUUCUGGCUCUGUUUAUGAGAUUUUUUUUUUGUUAUGGCCUGAAGGGGGAGAAAAAUUGAAAGAACAACACAUAAUCCGUUGUGCCUCCCCCUCGACCAAAAUUCAAUCACCACCAUAAAUCAUUACCAAAUGAAAAAAUCAAAGAGGCAGAGAACCAAAAUCUGAAAGUAGGGAAGAUAGAACAAAGAAACAGGAAGAAAAAAAAAAAGGAAAGGUAAUAAACAGAUCAAAACUUUUGGGUUUUAAUUUGUUUUAUUUCGAUUUGUGUUUUUGAGGCUUCAUUUGCGAUUAGGAUUUUAGAUCAGAGUUUAAUAUUAACAUUUAAAAAAAAAAAAAAUACAAAACGCCAUUUUCAGGCCAGAAAAUGAAAAAAAAAAAAAAAAGUUGGGCAAUGGCAGAACUGCCAUUUCCGCCAUUACUUGCAUGUGGCCACACUGUCGGUUCCGCCAUCAGUGGGGACCUGCAGCUUGCCAGUUUUUGUCCCAAAAGAGGGGUAUUACGGAAAUAUUUUUUAAAACAAGGGUAUUGUUGUAAAAAACGAUUUUUUUAGAGGCAAUUGAAUAAAAAAAUCUCUAAUUCUUAUCGGCUAUAUACGAUGAACCUUAUUUAAAGUUGUCUCGAUGACCCUUAUUAGAUGUUUCCUCUAUGACCUUUAAGUUCAAUUCUUAUUGGUUAUAUAAAUUCGGUUAAUGUUGUCUCGAUGACCCUUAUUAAAUGUUGCCUCGAUGAUCCAUAAGUCCUAUUAUUAUUUGCUAUAUAAAUUCGGUUAUAUAUUGCCUCAAUGACUCUUAUUAAAAGUUGACUCAAUGACCCUUAUUUAAUGUUGCCUCGAUGACCCUUAUGUUCAAUUCUUAUUGGAUAUAAAUUCGGUUAAUGUUGCCUCGAUAACCCUUAUUAAAUGUUGACUCGAUGGCCCAUCAGUCCAAUUCUUGUUGGUUAUAUAAAUUCGAUUAAACUUUGUCUUGAUGAUCUUUAAGACCGAUUAAUAUUGGCAUUAUAAAUUCCGUUAAUUGUUGGCUCGAUGACCCUAUAUCCCAUUGCUGCUGACAAAAUUAAUUUGGAAAUGGUUCCUCUGUGGCAGUGCAGUCUACAAGUCAAGGCAAGUAACUACUUUUAGUGUCUAUUUUCGAUUCAUUUCAAUUUUGAAAUUCAACAUGUACUAAUCUGUGUUGUUUUUGAACAGGUUGCUCGAGAAUUAAAUGUGAGGUGGAAGAGAAAAAUGACAUAAUUAACAUGAUUUUGCUUGAAAAAAGCCAACAUCAAGAGUGAGUUACAACCAUUUGGGAAACAACGAUGGAAUGAAUCUCUCUGCACCACAAACUUUCUGCUGCAAAGAAAUCUCCAAGAGCAAUGUUGUUGAUGAUAUGGUUAACAACAAUGCAAUCCUCUAUGGGCCUGGUGAACAUCCAGACCAUGUUGUUGUUAUUAAGUAUGUGCUUUAUGUUGGGGACAGCAAGAGAGCAAUGGAUGAGUACACUUUAUGUUGGCGACAGCAAGAGAGCAAUGGAACAAGAGUCAAGGAUGCAGGAGCUAAAGAUCAUAUUGCCAUUGGAGAUUCUUGAGCACUCAUGAUAUCCAUGGAUAGCAAAGCACCUCAUUAAAAUGAGAUCUUCGAUGUUGAUUGGCUUACCUCAUAAUUACACUGAUGUCUCGAAUGAUCGAUCACUUCACUCUCUUGUUGUAUGGAAAUUGAAGCAAUUGCACUAUCCUAUGAAGCAAUGCCAAGCUUAUGUUGCUCAUGAUCUAUGCUAGGUAAUAUGACUGAUCUGACUAUAAACUCAGAUUUCAGGUUUUACACAGGACUAACUAAUGCCUCUAUGUGGACGAUCUUAAAAUUUUUAGUUUGUAUUAUGCUUCAAAAUUUCCCACUUGUUGAGUUGACAAUUUGUAUGGUAAUUCUCUUUAACUUGUUGAGUUAAAUUGUAGGUAGAAAUAUUAUACUUCAAAAUUUCCCACUUGUUGAGUUGACAAUCUGUACGGUAAUUCUCUUUAUCUUUUUGAGUUAAAUUGUAGGUAAAACUUUGAUUACAUUUGUUCAAAUAUUUGCAGAAAAUGGCGAUUACCAACAAAUCACGUGUGGUUGUUCUCAACAAGGGGAACAUUUAGUAUUUAAAUAGACGAUCUUUAUUAUUCAACUUUUGUAAAUGACUCAAGUAUGAUAUUAUUUCUUUUAAAUCUGCUUUCUUCAAAGAAUUUGAUAUACUGAAAUUAAUUAGUGUUGCAUUAGAUUUAGAAGCACUGAAUACAUUUUGUUUGUGAAAUGUGUAAUUAUGUGUGAUUAAAAUCUGAUGGGUUGGUAUUCUAUUUAUUAAGUUCUUAGAGAUUUCUGGUCUGCGAGAGAUCAACUUUUCUUUGUAUAUAUAUGAUAUACUAUAAUAGUAAAACUUUUUGAUUGAGAACCCUUUCCCGCCUAUCCCUCCCGCAAGAGAGCCUUUAUGUUAAUGUAGAAAAUUAGCCUCUUCCUUCUUUGCAGCCUAUGAUGCCUCAUGUGAGGAAGGUACUGCAACUUCUUUAUGCAGGGCUCUUGAUAAAAUUGCGGACGUAUCUGUACCAGGUAUGAAUGUUAAGUUAGCACUAUUUAUUUAACUUGACAUUGUGUCUAUGCUCCACAUAAAUAAAGAAAUGGUAUUUGAUAGAAAAUGAUUUUUUUUUAAAUGAAAA